CCCUUAGAUGCUCUGGGCCGCACGCGCGCUACACUGGUCGAUGCAACGAGUUUCUUUCCUUGGCCGACAGGCCUGGGCAAUCUUUGAACAUCGAUCGUGAUCGGGAUAGAUUCUUGUGAUUUUUGAUCUUAAACGAGGAAUUCCUAGUAAACGCAAGUCAUCAGCUUGCAUUGAUUACGUCCCUGCCCUUUGUACACACCGCCCGUCGCACCUACCGAUUGAAUGGUCCGGUGAAAUCUCCGGACUGGCGUGAGUCGGAGCAAUCUGACAAACGCCGGAAAGUUGAUUAAACCUUACCAUUUAGAGGAAGGUGAAGUCGUAACA
rnacentral:rRNA from 1 species